ACAGAAGCUGCUAGUCGUGCUUGUCCUAGUGAAUAUAUAAGAUCACACAAAUACAUUGUGGCUGACACGAAAACAGAAUAUUGUGACUCUGGUGAUAGUUCUUGGAGCGUUUGCUCUAGCAGCGACACAAUGAUGUUCAAUUAUACACUUUGUUCAAAAAUACUUGCUUACUCGGAUCAAGGCAUUGUGAACUGUGUUUUUGACAUGGUAGAUGGAAAUAACACACAUGUUACGGUCAUGACAAAGGAAAUAACAAGUAGCCAACGGUUUACUUGCUUCGUAUCUCAUUUGGCUCAAAAUGGAACUCUGUACGUUUCACAGCAUCCUGGAAGUUGUGCUAAAUCGCAGUCGCCUUUUGAUGUACCAUCAUCUGGACUGAAAAUGGUAUUAAAUGACAAAG